rnacentral:misc_RNA from 1 species
UUUCCGUAGGUGAACCUGCGGAAGGAUCAUUAAAGUUAUUGUCCCCUGGCCCUCUGGGCUGGGGUCUUCUAUACCACCCUUUGUUUAUUACACCUUUGUUGCUUUGGCAGGCCUGCCCUCGGGCUGCUGGCUUCGGCCGGCUCGCGUCUGCCAGAGGACCUAAACUCUGUUUGUAUAUGAAGUCUGAGUACUAUAUAAUAGUUAAAACUUUCAACAACGGAUCUCUUGGUUCUG